CUAGGCAUAUUUUACUCUUAACAUUUGUUAUUUUGAUAAAGAUAUUCAUUGAAUUUCCGAUGUACGAACUCGGAUCACAUACUAUAAGAUUUACAGUACCAUUCUGAAUUACACUCCCAACAAAGUUUUCUCUAUAUCUAGAGGUUGAACUCGAAACUUGUGAUUAAUAAUGGAGCUGUUUCACCGUUGCACCACUACCUAUGUUGGUGGGCCAUGCUAUUCACCCUGGUUUGACAAUACAAGCAUGCUUGGAACUUUGCCAUCCACAAAAGAUACCUUAUACAACAUUUUAGUAUAAAUAAUGAUCAAGUGAGCAAAGUCAUCAAAAAGUCUUGUUUGCUUGUAUUUGCAUCAACCAUGGAAAUUUCAUAUUACAUACUCAUCUUCACUUUCAUUUACUUGCUAAAGAACCAUUUCCUUAGAAAAUUCCAAAAUCUCCCACCAAGUCCCUUUAUCUCUUUGCCCAUUAUAGGCCAUCUAUAUCUACUCAAGAAAAAACCACUUCAUAAAACAUUAGCCAACAUAACAGAAAAACAUGGUCCUUUGCUUUACCUUCGAUUUGGAUCGCGUCCUGUCCUGGUUGUCUCCUCCCCUUCUCUUGCAGAGGAAUGUUUCACCAAAAACGACAUUGUUUUUGCCAAUCGUGUGAAUCUGCUUGCUGGAAAACACCUUGGUUACAACUAUACCACCCUUGUUUGGGCAUCCUAUGGCCAACAUUGGCGCAACCUAAGAAGGAUUGCUACUCAUGAAGUUUUGUCCACUCAGAGAGUUCAAAUGUUUGCUGAUAUCCAUAGAGAUGAGGUUCGGGCUCUGCUGCAACGACUUCUAAGGGGGAAAACUAGUGGUGGAGAUACUAACACAAACGUGGUGGAUAUGAAAGCGGCUUUCUUUGAGAUGACACUGAAUAUCUUGAUGAUGAUGAUUGCUGGGAAAAGAUACUAUGGUGAUUCUGCUGGGAAAUUGGAGGAAUCUAGGAGGUUUAAAGAGAUUGUCACAGAAAGUUUCCAAGUGAGUGGUGCAACAAAUAUAGGAGAUUUUGUGCCACUUCUUAAAUGGAUAGGAGUUAACAAACUUGAGGAUAAGGUGAAGUUACUGCAGGAGAAGAGGGAUAAAUUCAUGCAAGAAUUGAUUGAAGAGCACAAGAACCGACGAAAGGGAUCUUGUUUGGAGCAAAAGAACAAUACCAUGAUUGAUGUUCUGUUAUCCCUCCAAGAUUCAGAGCCUGAUUAUUACACAGAUGAAGUGAUAAAGGGAAUGGGAAUAGUCAUGUUAACAGCAGGGACUGAUACUACAGCUAGCACAAUGGAAUGGGCAUUAUCACUUCUUCUGAACAAUCCUGAGGCACUAAAGAAAGCUCAAAACGAAAUAGACACUCACCUUGGAGAGUCAUCAAGGUUACUUGAUGAGUCAGACCUUGCUCAACUCCCUUAUCUCCAUGGAAUCAUAAACGAAACUCUCCGAUUGUGCCCAGCUGCUCCAUUACUUGUGCCACACGAGUCCUCAGAUGAGUGUGUUGUUGGAGGUUUUCGUGUACCCCGAGGGACAAUGUUGCUAGUGAAUUUGUGGGCAAUACAAAAUGAUGUUAAGUUGUGGGACAGGCCAAAUGAGUUCAUGCCUGAAAGGUUUAUCGAUUUCAAAGGUCAACGAGAUGGGUUCAGGCUAAUGCCAUUUGGAUAUGGCAGGAGAGGAUGUCCAGGUGAGAAUAUGGCAAUGCAUGUGGCUGGUUUGGCUUUAGGAUCACUUAUUCAGUGCUUUGAAUGGGAGAGAGUAAGUGAAGAGCUGGUUGACAUGACUGGAGGACCUGGACUCACUAUGCCCAAGGCAAUACCAUUGCUAGCAAAAUGUAGGCCACGCCAAAAUAUCGACAACCUUCUUACUCAUUUGUAAUCACAAUUCUCCCCUGCACUUUCUCUUUCAGACAGAACAAUAAAUGCAAAAAAAACGAUGUUAGAAUUGUCUAUGAACACUUACAACAUAACAUUGCUUUCAAAUCUUUGUGGGCUGUACUAUUAUUUAUAAAGAAACAUAUGUAAAACACAGGAAGCUGGAGUAAUCAUCCAAGAAUCACUGAGAAAAUGAAGGUUCUCAUAUUUCAUAAGCAAACAGAAUAACAUUUAAUUUUUUCUAUAGCAAGGAUGGACUCCUUUUCCGCUUAUUAUGAACUCAUGUAAGAAUAAUUCGCGGUUAGUUCAAAGCAUAGUAGCUCUGUUGUCCAGCUCAGCAAAUCAUGUUCUUAACAGGUUAACUUGGCCACUAGCCAUAAUUGCUACAAACAAACUAUUCAAAACGAUGUAAAACCAAAAGUGGACCAGAUUAUAGUCACCAAAAUAAAUGUUCUCACUGU